rnacentral:rRNA from 1 species
GACAGAGGGUGCAAACGUUGUUCGGAAUUACUGGGCGUAAAGCGCGUGUAGGCGGCUUGGCAAGUCGGAUGUGAAAGCCCACGGCUCAACCGUGGAAGCGCAUCCGAAACGGCUCGCUCGAGUCUCGGAGAGGAAGGUGGAAUGCUUGGUGUAGAGGUGAAAUUCGUAGAUAUCAAGCAGAACACCUGCGGCGAAGGCGGCCUUCUGGACGAUGACUGACGCUGAGACGCGAAAGCGUGGGGAGCAAACAGG